rnacentral:rRNA from 1 species
GAUGAACGCUGGCGGCGUGCUUAACACAUGCAAGUCGAACGGUGAACGAGGGAGCUUGCUCCCUCCGGAUCAGUGGCGAACGGGUGAGUAACACGUGAGCAAUCUGCCCUGGACUCUGGGAUAAGCGUUGGAAACGACGUCUAAUACCGGAUACGCGACGCGAAGGCAUCUUCCGCGUCUGGAAAGAACUUCGGUCCAGGAUGAGCUCGCGGCCUAUCAGGUAGUUGGUGAGGUAACGGCUCACCAAGCCUACGACGGGUAGCCGGCCUGAGAGGGUGACCGGCCACACUGGGACUGAGACACGGCCCAGACUCCUACGGGAGGCAGCAGUGGGGAAUAUUGCACAAUGGGCGCAAGCCUGAUGCAGCAACGCCGCGUGAGGGACGACGGCCUUCGGGUUGUAAACCUCUUUUAGCAGGGAAGAAGCGAAAGUGACGGUACCUGCAGAAAAAGCACCGGCUAACUACGUGCCAGCCGCCGCGGUAAAAC